UAGGGAAUCUUCCACAAUGGACGCAAGUCUGAUGGAGCAACGCCGCGUGAGUGAAGAAGGUUUUCGGAUCGUAAAGCUCUGUUGUUGGUGAAGAAGGAUAGAGGUAGUAACUGGCCUUUAUUUGACGGUAAUCAACCAGAAAGUCACGUCUAACUACGUGCCAGCAGCCACGGUAAUACGUAGGUGGCAAGCGUUGUCCGGAUUUAUUGGGCGUAAAGCGAGCGCAGGCGGAAGAAUAAGUCUGAUGUGAAAGCCCUCGGCUUAACCGAGGAACUGCAUCGGAAACUGUUUUUCUUGAGUGCAGAAGAGGAGAGUGGAACUCCAUGUGUAGCGGUGGAAUGCGUAGAUAUAUGGAAGAACACCAGUGGCGAAGGCGGCUCUCUGGUCUGCAACUGACGCUGAGGCUCGAAAGCAUGGGUAGCGAACAGG
rnacentral:rRNA from 1 species